CUUCACCUUCUCCAUCUUGCUUUUAAUUUUUUCCUCUCCAUUCCCUUGUGCAUUGGCUUUGUUUCAGAAAAUCCUAGACUUACAGAGACUGUGAGCUUGAGGCAAACAGAAACAGAUGGGGGAAGAAACAUUUAAAGCUGUAGUAUGGUAUAAUGGUAAAAUUGUCGAUCAAGACAGAAACAACCCACGUUAUGUUGGUGGCAUAGUGAAGUUCAUCGAUGUAGAUCCAAAUAUAAAGGUGGAGGUAUUUCUUUGCACUGUUCGAGACAUUUUUGGCAUACCCGAAGCAGUUCCUAUUACAAUGAAGUACCACAUUUUCUUUUCUUCGGAGAUAUCCAAGCUUCUUGAUAUUACUCCUUAUGAGUCGCUAAAGUUCAUGCUACCUGGUCUUACACUACAUCCCUUCUAUGUAGAGGAGAAUGUGGUCGAAGAUGACAUUCACACAUACUCGAAUGUGCCGAGAUGUAGCCGAUCUGUUGGAUACUCCGGUGCUGUUCAGUCACCUCCAACCGGAGUAGAAAUGUAAGUCUAUCAGAAAUAAUUACACUGCUCGUUUAAUUCUGCUUUCUGUGGUUGCAGUCCUGUCAAGCCAAGUGCUCAUGUACAUGUUGAUGGUUCUUCGAGCCAAGGACAAAGCAGUUCCCAAGCUCUUGUGCCGAAUCCCAUUCCCAUGAGGCGCUCCAAUAAACGAAGCGCGGCCGACCUAGACGAUUCGGUCAAUGCAGUAACAGUUGGUGGCCAUGUUGGAAGGACUUCUUCUAUAAAUAGCUCACAUGUAAACGACUUGGUGUUUUUGGAAGAAUAAGGCUUUGUGGCGAAAUUGGCUAAAAAUGCGGCAUUUGGACCUCC